GACAGAGGGGGCAAGCGUUGCUCGGAAUUACUGGGCGUAAAGGGCGCGUAGGCGGGAUGGCAAGUCGGUCGUGAAAUCCUUCGGCUCAACCGAAGAACGUCGGCCGAUACUGCCGUUCUUGAGGGAUGCAGAGGAGAUUGGAAUUCCCGGUGUAGCGGUGAAAUGUGUAGAGAUCGGGAGGAACACCGGUGGCGAAGGCGGGUCUCUGGGCAACAACUGACGCUGAGGAGCGAAAGCGUGGGGAGCGAACAGG
rnacentral:rRNA from 1 species